GUUGCAAACCGUCUUAUCGCUCUUUGAGAAAUCAGAGGGAGGAAAGUCCGGGCAACACAGAGCAUCGUACUUCCUAACGGGAAGGCUUUUGGUUAUAAUGACUGAGAGACAGAGAGUGCCACAGAAAACAAACUACCUGCAAAGAUUUUUCUUUGAAGGAAAAGGUGAAAUGGCGGGGUAAGAGCCCACCGUUAUGCCAGUGAUGGUGUAAGCAGGGUAAACCUUACGAGUUGAAAGGCCAAAUAAGUCACGUUUCGAAAGGGAUAGCUGCUCGCUAUCUGUUCUUCGGAGCAGGCGUGACGGGUAGGCUGAUGGAGCCCGGUUGUGAAACCGAGGCCAGAUAAAUGAUAAGAGUUCUGAGCAAUCAGGAAACAGAACCCGGCUUAUAGGUUUGCUUUUUUU
rnacentral:RNase_P_RNA from 1 species